rnacentral:rRNA from 1 species
GAUGAACGCAGGCGGCGUGCCUAAUACAUGCAAGUCGAGCGAACGGACGAGAAGCUUGCUUCUCUGAUGUUAGCGGCGGACGGGUGAGUAACACGUGGAUAACCUACCUAUAAGACUGGGAUAACUUCGGGAAACCGGAGCUAAUACCGGAUAAUAUUUUGAACCGCAUGGUUCAAAAGUGAAAGACGGUCUUGCUGUCACUUAUAGAUGGAUCCGCGCUGCAUUAGCUAGUUGGUAAGGUAACGGCUUACCAAGGCAACGAUGCAUAGCCGACCUGAGAGGGUGAUCGGCCACACUGGAACUGAGACACGGUCCAGACUCCUACGGGAGGCAGCAGUAGGGAAUCUUCCGCAAUGGGCGAAAGCCUGACGGAGCAACGCCGCGUGAGUGAUGAAGGUCUUCGGAUCGUAAAACUCUGUUAUUAGGGAAGAACAUAUGUGUAAGUAACUGUGCACAUCUUGACGGUACCUAAUCAGAAAGCCACGGCUAACUACGUGCCAGCAGCCGCGGUAAUACGUAGGUGGCAAGCGUUAUCCGGAAUUAUUGGGCGUAAAGCGCGCGUAGGCGGUUUUUUAAGUCUGAUGUGAAAGCCCACGGCUCAACCGUGGAGGGUCAUUGGAAACUGGAAAACUUGAGUGCAGAAGAGGAAAGUGGAAUUCCAUGUGUAGCGGUGAAAUGCGCAGAGAUAUGGAGGAACACCAGUGGCGAAGGCGACUUUCUGGUCUGUAACUGACGCUGAUGUGCGAAAGCGUGGGGAUCAAACAGGAUUAGAUACCCUGGUAGUCCACGCCGUAAACGAUGAGUGCUAAGUGUUAGGGGGUUUCCGCCCCUUAGUGCUGCAGCUAACGCAUUAAGCACUCCGCCUGGGGAGUACGACCGCAAGGUUGAAACUCAAAGGAAUUGACGGGGACCCGCACAAGCGGUGGAGCAUGUGGUUUAAUUCGAAGCAACGCGAAGAACCUUACCAAAUCUUGACAUCCUUUGACAACUCUAGAGAUAGAGCCUUCCCCUUCGGGGGACAAAGUGACAGGUGGUGCAUGGUUGUCGUCAGCUCGUGUCGUGAGAUGUUGGGUUAAGUCCCGCAACGAGCGCAACCCUUAAGCUUAGUUGCCAUCAUUAAGUUGGGCACUCUAAGUUGACUGCCGGUGACAAACCGGAGGAAGGUGGGGAUGACGUCAAAUCAUCAUGCCCCUUAUGAUUUGGGCUACACACGUGCUACAAUGGACAAUACAAAGGGCAGCGAAGCCGCGAGGUCAAGCAAAUCCCAUAAAGUUGUUCUCAGUUCGGAUUGUAGUCUGCAACUCGACUACAUGAAGCUGGAAUCGCUAGUAAUCGUAGAUCAGCAUGCUACGGUGAAUACGUUCCCGGGUCU